AAUGAACGCUGGCGGCAUGCCUAACACAUGCAAGUCGAACGAAGGCUUCGGCCUUAGUGGCGCACGGGUGCGUAACGCGUGGGAAUCUGCCCUUGGGUUCGGAAUAACAGUUAGAAAUGACUGCUAAUACCGGAUGAUGUCGUAAGACCAAAGAUUUAUCGCCCAAGGAUGAGCCCGCGUAGGAUUAGCUAGUUGGUGGGGUAAAGGCCCAACAAGGCGACGAUCCUUAGCUGGUCUGAGAGGAUGAUCAGCCACACUGGGACUGAGACACGGCCCAGACUCCUACGGGAGGCAGCAGUGGGGAAUAUUGGACAAUGGGCGAAAGCCUGAUCCAGCAAUGCCGCGUGAGUGAUGAAGGCCUUAGGGUUGUAAAGCUCUUUUACCCGGGAUGAUAAUGACAGUACCGGGAGAAUAAGCUCUGGCUAACUUCGUGCCAGCCGCCGCCGUAA
rnacentral:rRNA from 1 species